rnacentral:rRNA from 1 species
AGUGAACGCUGGCGGUAUGCCUAACACAUGCAAGUCGAACGGCAGCACAGUAAGAGCUUGCUCUUACGGGUGGCGAGUGGCGGACGGGUGAGGAAUACAUCGGAAUCUACUUUUUCGUGGGGGAUAACGUAGGGAAACUUACGCUAAUACCGCAUACGACCUACGGGUGAAAGCAGGGGAUCUUCGGACCUUGCGCGAUUGAAUGAGCCGAUGUCGGAUUAGCUAGUUGGCGGGGUAAAGGCCCACCAAGGCGACGAUCCGUAGCUGGUCUGAGAGGAUGAUCAGCCACACUGGAACUGAGACACGGUCCAGACUCCUACGGGAGGCAGCAGUGGGGAAUAUUCGACAAUGGGCGCAAGCCUGAUCCAGCCAUACCGCGUGGGUGAAGAAGGCCUUCGGGUUGUAAAGCUCUUUUGUUGGGAAAGAACAGCAGCAGGUUAAUACCCCGCUGUCCUGACGGUACCCAAAGAAUAAGCCCCGGCUAACUUCGUG